UGCCUAACCCCAUAGAAGCUCCAUGGGUAUGGCAUAAAAACGCUAUGAACAUAAAGAUCCCAUCAUCAGGGACGUUCAUAGCGUCGUAUAGGGAAACCUAUACGUGGGCCGUAAGGCUCU
rnacentral:sRNA from 1 species